rnacentral:lncRNA from 1 species
AGGAAGAAGAUGAAAACGAAAGGUUUGGAAUCAUAGCUGCAAUUAUUUCUUUUUAAUUAUGGCCCCCUUCAAGUGGAUUUAACGACUACAUUAAUGGACUUGCACAUCAUGAGAUAUUCUGCACUUGAAAGGUCAUAUAGGGGAUUUUCACGAAUCUAAAACGAUAUGAUAUAUUUUGCAAUAUAGACAAAGGUUAGGGAUUUUGAGCCAAUAACCCCUAUUUUUUCGUUUGGUAAGACAAUUUUUUUUAAAUCUAUUUCUUUAUAAAAUUAGUGAAAAAGUAUUAUCUGUAGGUAAUCAUUUAUCAAUAUUUUUAAUUGUUUAAAAAAUUUAGGGAUAGAAAUAUUUUGUUUAAUUGUUAUUCUUUAUCUUACCAACGUAAUCAGCCAUAUAGUUAAAAUCACCUCGAACAAUCUGUGGACUGUUCAAUUGGAAAAUAUAAAGUAAAUCCUUGUACCGAUCAACUAGACAACAAUUACUACAAAUUUCAUUCUACUUCGUGAAACGAUUUAUAUUGAAAUUUGGCAACUCUAAGCCCACCCCUCCUUUUCUCCCUACUUAGGUGUGUCAAUUGUUCAAUUUCUAGGAACAGUCAUUGUCGGUCAAAUUGAUUCUUAUGCAUCAAAUUCACCUCAGGAGCUUUUUCCCCUUUACGAAAGUUCACUCGGCUCACGGUUGUUUUCUUCGAUCCCUUAUCUACAUAAUUUUUCUCCAUUUUUAUCUGUCAACUAUUUGAUAUUUUUUAUAGGUUGACUAGAAGAUAGAACACCUAGGAUAAAUUUCAAUCUUACACGCAGAAUAUGGAGUUUGGAAAUGUUAUAUUCGGAUAAUAUAUUACUGUUUGAUAUCAAAAUUAUUAUUUUCUGGUGCAGAUAACUUAGCCUCUAAGUUUCAAUUUCAGUUCUUCCUUUCUUUAUCUUCAAAUUCAAUCUUGAGUACAUAUUUUGUUGUAUAGUAUAAGUGCAUUUUGUGCACUUGAUUGGGUCAUAUUAUUAACUUUUAUGUUGUCAAAUUAUUGAAUUUUACUUAACUUUGAUUAAUUUUCUCUUGUUUCGGUUAUGGACCCAUUUCUAA